GGGUUGUGAGGUUAAGCGACUAAGCGUACACGGUGGAUGCCCUGGCAGUCAGAGGCGAUGAAGGACGUGCUAAUCUGCGAUAAGCGUCGGUAAGGUGAUAUGAACCGUUAUAACCGGCGAUUUCCGAAUGGGGAAACCCAGUGUGAUUCGUCACACUAUCAUUAACUGAAUCCAUAGGUUAAUGAGGCGAACCGGGGGAACUGAAACAUCUAAGUACCCCGAGGAAAAGAAAUCAACCGAGAUUCCCCCAGUAGCGGCGAGCGAACGGGGAGCAGCCCAGAGCCUGAAUCAGUGUGUGUGUUAGUGGAAGCGUCUGGAAAGGCGCGCGAUACAGGGUGACAGCCCCGUACACAAAAAUGCACAUGCUGUGAGCUCGAUGAGUAGGGCGGGACACGUGGUAUCCUGUCUGAAUAUGGGGGGACCAUCCUCCAAGGCUAAAUACUCCUGACUGACCGAUAGUGAACCAGUACCGUGAGGGAAAGGCGAAAAGAACCCCGGCGAGGGGAGUGAAAAAGAACCUGAAACCGUGUACGUACAAGCAGUGGGAGCCUCUUUAUGG
rnacentral:rRNA from 1 species